rfam:Gracilibacillus halophilus YIM-C55.5 contig_24, whole genome shotgun sequence.
UAAGACAAGUAGAAGCACCCGCUUCUCACCUGAUUGACACAGUCGAUGUAGUUAACAGGUAUAUGUUUUCCGACGUAUUCGUAAUGAAAUGAAGACAGGUGUGGGUGCAGUAUGUGCAUUCACACCUUUUUUGUAUG